AAGUCGUAACAAGGUUUCCGUAGGUGAACCUGCGGAAGGAUCAUUAACACGUAUCCAACGUUAAACCCCCCGUGAACCUUUAUUGCGAACCACGCCUUUGUUAGAAAGUAGCAAUCCCUGGUAAAUCAUCGCCGAACAGUUUUGAUUCAGUGGAUCUCUGCGAAGAGAGCGGUUGUAGCGCGAGGUAAGUGGCCUGGCAUCCCUCUGCUUGUUAGUGUCUGAAAGUGUCACUAGCUCUGUACGGAUGGCGCAGUCACGAUCGCUGGAGGCCGACACGGCCGGCGACCGGGUCACCGGGCAUAGACCCCCCUAUCACCCCUUUGCAUGAAAACGGGCCUGCGCUUAAUUGUGCGGCCACCAAACUCGAACAACUGUUAACAAUGGAUAUCUUGGUUCUC
rnacentral:misc_RNA from 1 species